AGCUAGUUGGUGGGGUAAAAGCUCACCAAGGCGACGAUCUGUAGCGGGUCUGAGAGGAUGAUCCGCCACACUGGAACUGAGACACGGUCCAGACUCCUACGGGAGGCAGCAGUGGGGAAUUUUGGACAAUGGGGGCAACCCUGAUCCAGCCAUGCCGCGUGAGUGAAGAAGGCCUUCGGGUUGUAAAGCUCUUUCGGCCGGGAAGAAAUCGUAUCAGCUAAUACCUGGUGCGGAUGACGGUACCGGCAUAAGAAGCACCGGCUAACUACGUGCCAGCAGCCGCGGUAAUACGUAGGGUGCGAGCGUUAAUCGGAAUUACUGGGCGUAAAGCGUGCGCAGGCGGUUUUGUAAGACAGGCGUGAAAUCCCCGGGCUCAACCUGGGAACUGCGUUUGUGACUGCAAGGCUAGAGUACGGCAGAGGGGGGUGGAAUUCCACGUGUAGCAGUGAAAUGCGUAGAGAUGUGGAGGAACACCAAUGGCGAAGGCAGCCCCCUGGGUCGAUACUGACGCUCAUGCACGAAAGCGUGGGUAGCAAACAGGAUUAGAUACCCUGGUAGUCCACGCCCUAAACGAUGUCAACUAGGUGUUGGGAGGGUAAAACCUUUUAGUACCGGAGCUAACGCGUGAAGUUGACCGCCUGGGGAGUACGGCCGCAAGGUUAAAACUCAAAGGAAUUGACGGGGACCCGCACAAGCGGUGGAUGAUGUGGAUUAAUUCGAUGCAACGCGAAAAACCUUACCUACCCUUGACAUGUCAGGAACUUUCCAGAGAUGGAUUGGUGCUCGAAAGAGAACCUGAACACAGGUGCUGCAUGGCUGUCGUCAGCUCGUGUCGUGAGAUGUUGGGUUAAGUCCCGCAACGAGCGCAACCCUUGUCGUUAAUUGCCAUCAUUUAGUUGGGCACUUUAACGAGACUGCCGGUGACAAACCGGAGGAAGGUGGGGAUGACGUCAAGUCCUCAUGGCCCUUAUGGGUAGGGCUUCACACGUCAUACAAUGGUCGGUACAAAGGGUCGCCAAGCCGCGAGGUGGAGCUAAUCCCAGAAAGCCGAUCGUAGUCCGGAUUGCAGGCUGCAACUCGCCUGCAUGAAGUCGGAAUCGCUAGUAAUCGUGGAUCAGCAUGUCACGGUGAAUACGUUCCCGGGUCUUGUACACACCGCCCGUCACACCAUGGGAGCGGGUUCCGCCAGAAGUAGGUAGCCUAACCGCAAGGAGGGCGCUUACCACGGCGGGGUUCGUGACUGGGGUGAAGUCGUAACAAGGUAGCCGUAGGGGAACCUGCGGCUG
rnacentral:rRNA from 1 species